UACGCCACCCAGGGAAUUUCCAGCUGCUCUCUGAUAUCCCUUGCUUCCAUCUGGCUAUUCUUUUCACUCUUCUCUGGCAGUGUGAAUGGGGCAAUGACUAUGGACCGGGAUCUGGACCAAGGAGAUUAAACUCAGCAGGAAGUUUGAAAAGGCUCCCUGCUUCAUACAGUGAAAAGAAAGGAUGUAUCAGGGUUGUGUAGUGAAGAAGACUGUUGUCUAUAGGACUCCUGCUUUAUUUGUUGCAGAAGUUGGAAGACUUGCCUUAUGCAUUGAGUAUUUACAGUAACUGCUCCCAAAACUAGAAGAGAAUCCUAAAAGAAAGUUAAAUUUCAUCUUCUGAAUGGAUAUUUAAAGCACUUCCUCAAAUUCAGAACUGCCGUUAUCUUCUGAGGAUUCACAAAGGAAUACUGGUUGAUGAAAGGAUGUUUUUCUACUCCCACUAUCAGGCAUAGUCCAUGUUGUAAAUGCUUUAGCUCCUGUUAUUUGUACUGCAUCUUCUUGUGGUCUUUUCACAGUUCAUUAAGAAGAGGAGGAGGAAAAAGAACAGACUGUCAGUUCCAUCAUUAAACUGUGCCAGUAGUACAACUGAGGGAGUAACAUGCUCCACUAACUCAUGUUUGGCUGAUAAACCAGAAAAACCUGGCAAGCCUUUGAGAGUCAGUCACAGACAGUCUGAUUGUAGCAUUCUAUAGAGUGCUUCCACUUUUUCAUUAUGUUUGGCAUUUCUGACCUGUGCUAGAAACUAGAAGCCUGGGGUACUGUGCUGUAAGGAUGAGAUUUUACCAAGCUACAGACCACAUUGAAUGAAA